UACAGAGGGUGCGAGCGUUAAUCGGAAUUACUGGGCGUAAAGGGCGCGUAGGCGGCCUGCUAAGUCGAACGUGAAAUCCCUGGGCUCAACCCAGGAACUGCGUCCGAUACUGGUUGGCUUGAAUCCGGGAGAGGGAUGUGGAAUUCCAGGUGUAGCGGUGAAAUGCGUAGAUAUCUGGAGGAACACCGGUGGCGAAGGCGACAUCCUGGACCGGUAUUGACGCUGAGGCGCGAAAGCCAGGGGAGCAAAUGGG
rnacentral:rRNA from 1 species